GGUAAUUUGGCCUACACAACGGCGACACCAAGAGGCGAAGCCUAUUGCAGCCAAAUUGCUUUUCGUUGGAGACACGGUGAGGGAGAAAUUCCCCAACAGCAUGGUUAGUGAGAUCCGGGCCCUGCUGCGGAGGAAAUGCAAUAAUGAGGGCUACACCAAGGUUGCUCCUCAGUAGCUUUAUUAUAUAUGUUAUAUAUGUCAGACGUUUUAAAGUUAGGUGUUGUUGAAUGUAUGUUUGUAUUAAUAUUUAAAUUAAAGUUUUGGUUUGUACAA